AUCAACGCUGGCGGCGCGCUUAACACAUGCAAGUCGCACGAGAAAGUGGAGCAAUCCAUGAGUAAAGUGGCGUACGGGUGAGUAACACGUGGAUCAUUUACCUCUUGGUGGGGAAUAACCCUGGGAAACCGGGGCUAAUACCGCAUAAGCCUGAAAAGGGAAAGUAGUAAUGCGCCGAGAGAGGAGUCCGCGGCCGAUUAGCUUGUUGGUAGGGUAAUGGCCUACCAAGGCAAUGAUCGGUAGCCGGCCUGAGAGGGCACACGGCCACACUGGCACUGAAACACGGGCCAGACUCCUACGGGAGGCAGCAGUGGGGAAUCUUGCACAAUGGGGGCAACCCUGAUGCAGCGACGCCGCGUGAGCGAUGAAGCCCUUCGGGGUGUAAAGCUCUUUCGGCAGGAAAGAUAAUGACGGUACCUGCAGAAGAAGCUGCGGCUAACUACGUGCCAGCAGCCGCGGUAAUACGUAGGCAGCAAGCGUUGUUCGGAGUUACUGGGCGUAAAGAGUGUGUAGGCGGUUCUCUAAGUUCCGUGUGAAAUCUCCCGGCUCAACUGGGAGGGUGCGCGGAAACUGGAGGGCUUGAGUAUGGGAGAGGAAAGCGGAAUUCCUGGUGUAGCGGUGAAAUGCGUAGAUAUCAGAGGAACACCUGCGGUGUAGACAGCUUUCUGGACCAUCACUGACGCUGAGACACGAAAGCGUGGGUAGCAAACAGGAUUAGAUACCUGUAGUCACGCCCUAACGAUGCAUACUU
rnacentral:rRNA from 1 species